GCGGUCAGAGCUGCACCAAGGCUAUUUAUUAGUGAGCGUGACUGACGACAUCAGAACACAACAAAACACAACUGCGACGAGUUCGCGCGCACAGGGCAAUAUUCAACUUCUGCUCUUAUUUAACUAUAUUUACUGAAGUAUUAUUGUCUUCUGAGUUUAGAUACAUUAAGAUAAAAUCAUGAAUCGGAUGGGAAGUAUGUGCACAUUUGAUGAAAUCAGAUGGGAUGACAGAAUGAACGGGCACAGGAACCCUCAGACUGACUCUCCACGAGCAGAACCAGCACCAGCCGCCCACCACAGAUAAGCCAAUUGGCAGAGCUUUUGCUUUGGUACAACCAAACUAUGAGCGGCAGCCAUUGAAGUCUGAUCUGAUCAAGCAGUCUGAAGACCAGGGUGAGGUCAUCAAGGUAUAUCUUGAAGACCGCAAAGAGGCCCAAGCCAGACACCAACAGAGUCUAAAAAUGCUCUCAGAGGAAGUUUCACAAAUACAGGAGGUGAGAUAUUGUCUAAAAAACCUCAGAGAGCAGAUGGCAGCUAAAAGUCACAGGACAGAACAUAAGCUGGUGUUAUCUGGUCCCAGAAAAGUUAAUGGCACUCAUUCAUCAUUAACACAGGCCCUAAACAGUUUAGAGAGACAGGUGAGACAUUAAUGUGCACUGUUGU